AUGGAACAUAGGAAUACUUAGUUCAACCACUGCCACUGGACUUAAGUGUGCUGUAGACCUGCACAGAUCUUGGUGAGAUUUCAUGUACUGUCCAGUGCUAUAAGCUCAGGUUGAGGGAGGCCCAGAUCGGCUGGCCCGCAGCAUAUUGGUUGAUUGCACUGGGUGAUGAUAAGGUAUCAUUGAUACCAUAUUCCAGAUUCUGUUCUGGCCUAAAAGUGAAAUUCCUUUACUCCUAUGGACAGACAUGAUAUGACCAGAACUCCAAGAUGUAGUCAUUCAUUGUUCUUCGUUUCUGACCACAGAUAUGAUAUGACCAAGUUCCUUGAGCAACUGCCCUGUGACACUGUAAGGACCUGGCUGUAAUAGACUUUAACUUAAAACUAAAAGAAAAUCUUCCCUAACUUGCUGUGGUUGGGCAUUCCUUUUACAAAUCAAAAUAAAAUACAAUACACUAAG